GAUGAAAAACGUAGCGAAAUGCGAUAAGUAAUGUGAAUUGCAGAAUUCAGUGAAUCAUCGAAUCUUUGAACGCACAUUGCGCCCGCCAGCAUUCUGGCGGGCAUGCCUGUUCGAGCGUCAUUUCAACCCUCGAGCCCCCCCGGGGGCCUCGGUGUUGGGGGACGGCACACCAGCCGCCCCCGAAAUGCAGUGGCGACCCCGCCGCAGCCUCCCCUGCGUAGUAGCACACACCUCGCACCGGAGCGCGGAGGCGGUCACGCCGUAAAACGCCCAACUUUCUUAGAGUUGACCUCGGAUCAGGUAGGAAUACCCGCUGAACUUAAGCAUAUCAAUAAGCGGAGGA
rnacentral:misc_RNA from 1 species